AGUGAACGCUGGCGGUAGGCCUAACACAUGCAAGUCGAACGGCAGCACAGUAAGAGCUUGCUCUUACGGGUGGCGAGUGGCGGACGGGUGAGGAAUACAUCCGAAUCUACUUUUUCGUGGGGGAUAACGUAGGGAAACUUACGCUAAUACCGCAUACGACCUACGGGUGAAAGCAGGGGAUCUUCGGACCUUGCGCGAUUGAAUGAGCCGAUGUCGGAUUAGCUAGUUGGCGGGGUAAAGGCCCACCAAGGCGACGAUCCGUAGCUGGUCUGAGAGGAUGAUCAGCCACACUGGAACUGAGACACGGUCCAGACUCCUACGGGAGGCAGCAGUGGGGAAUAUUGGACAAUGGGCGAAAGCCUGAUCCAGCCAUGCCGCGUGGGUGAAGAAGGCCUUCGGGUUGUAAAGCCCUUUUGUUGGGAAAGAAAAGCAGCAGGUUAAUACCCCGCUGUUCUGACGGUACCCAAAGAAUAAGCACCGGCUAACUUCGUG
rnacentral:rRNA from 1 species